AAUAAAUUACCAUAAUAAAAUUAGAAACUAGAUGAUAAAUGUUUCGGAUACCAAAACAAGUUGAGAGUGAUACAAAUAAUAUCAAACUUAGUUCGUUUUUCCAUUUUUUCAGGGUGUCGGAGAACCUCCCUUAAUUCUUGCAGCUUCGGUGUUUUAUGCUAUUAAAGACGCCAUUUCAAACGCCAGGCUGGAAUCAGGCAUUGAAGGAAUCUUUCGUCUUGACAGUCCUGCUACAAGUGAGCGAAUCAGAAUGGCUUGUGUUGAUCAAUUUGUCCAACAAACUAAAUCUUCUGCAGAUCUGAAUGUGGACGAUUUCAACGUGUACC